rnacentral:rRNA from 1 species
GAUGAACGCUGGCUACAGGCUUAACACAUGCAAGUCGAGGGGAAACGACGGGGAAGCUUGCUUCCCCGGGCGUCGACCGGCGCACGGGUGAGUAACGCGUAUCCAACCUGCCUCUGACUGAGGGAUAACCCGUCGAAAGUCGGCCUAAUACCUCAUGGCAUCGUCUGCGGGCAUCCAACGACGAUUAAAGAUUUCAUCGGUCAGGGAUGGGGAUGCGUCUGAUUAGCUUGUUGGCGGGGUAACGGCCCACCAAGGCUACGAUCAGUAGGGGUUCUGAGAGGAAGGUCCCCCACAUUGGAACUGAGACACGGUCCAAACUCCUACGGGAGGCAGCAGUGAGGAAUAUUGGUCAAUGGGCGGGAGCCUGAACCAGCCAAGUAGCGUGCAGGAUGACGGCCCUAUGGGUUGUAAACUGCUUUUAUGCGGGGAUAAAGUGAGGGACGUGUCCUUCAUUGCAGGUACCGCA